GCCUGGCUUGGAGAAUUUUGAGCAUUAUUUUACUAGCGUGAGAGAUGAGUACAAUUGCGUGGUAGCUUGAACAAUCUUUGGCUUGGUCCUUCUUUGGAAUUGGAAUGAAAACUGACUUUUUUCAGUCCUGUGGCCACUGCUGAGUUUCAA